UGCAAGUCGAACGAAGUAGCAAUACUUAGUGGCAGACGGGUGAGUAACAUGUGGGUAUCUGCCCUUUGGCCUGGAAUAACACGAGGAAACUUGUGCUAAUACCGGAUAAGUCUUUACAGAGAAAGCUUUAUGCACCAUUGGAUGAGCCCGCACUUGAUUAGUUUGUUGGUAGGGUAAUGGCCUACCAAGACUGUGAUCAAUAGCUGAUUUGAGAGGAUGAUCAGCCACAUUGGGACUGAGACACGGCCCAAACUCCUACGGGAGGCAGCAGUGGGGAAUCUUGCACAAUGGAGGAAACUCUGAUGCAGCGAUGCCGCGUGAGUGAAGAAGGCCUUUGGGUUGUAAAGCUCUUUCGUCGGGGAAGAAAAUGACUGUACCCGAAUAAGAAGGUCCGGCUAACUUCGUGCCAGCAGCCGCGGUAAUACGAAGGGACCUAGCGUAGUUCGGAAUUACUGGGCUUAAAGAGUUCGUAGGUGGUUGAAAAAGUUGGUGGUGAAAUCCCAGAGCUUAACUCUGGAACUGCCAUCAAAACUUUUCAGCUAGAGUUUGAUAGAGGAAAGCAGAAUUUCUAGUGUAGAGAUGAAAUUCGUAGAUAUUAGAAAGAAUACCAAUUGCGAAGGCAGCUUUCUGGAUCAUUACUGACGCUGAGGAACGAAAGCAUGGGUAGCGAAGAGGAUUAGAUACCCUCGUAGUCCAUGCCGUAAACGAUGUGUGUUAGACGUUGGAAAUUUAUUUUCAGUGUCGCAGCGAAAGCGAUAAACACACC
rnacentral:rRNA from 1 species